rnacentral:rRNA from 1 species
UACGUAGGGUGCGAGCGUUGUCCGGAAUUACUGGGCGUAAAGAGCUCGUAGGUGGUUUGUCGCGUUGUUCGUGAAAACUCACAGCUCAACUGUGGGCGUGCGGGCGAUACGGGCAGACUGGAGUACUGCAGGGGAGACUGGAAUUCCGUGGUGUAGCGGUGAAAUGCGCAGAUAUCAGGAGGAACACCGGUGGCGAAGGCGGGUCUCUGGGCUGUAACUGACGCUGGAGGAGCGAAAGCGUGGGGAGCGAACAGG